UACGUAGGGUGCGAGCGUUGUCCGGAAUUACUGGGCGUAAAGAGCUCGUAGGUGGUUUGUCGCGUUGUUCGUGAAAACUCACAACUCAAUUGUGGGCGUGCGGGCGAUACGGGCAGACUGGAGUACUGCAGGGGAGACUGGAAUUCCAGGUGUAGCGGUGAAAUGCGUAGAUAUCUGGAGGAACACCGGUGGCGAAGGCGGCAUCCUGGACCGGUAUUGACGCUGAGGCGCGAAAGCCAGGGGAGCAAACGGG
rnacentral:rRNA from 1 species